rnacentral:rRNA from 1 species
UGUAAGCGUAUACCAAAGUUGUUGCAGUUAAAACGCUCGUAGUCGGACUUUGGCAGUUCCGGAUGUGUGCACGUCGUGUGCGCACUUCGCGGGGAUUGCUUUUGUGGUCUUGCGUAGGAUGAGGCACUUUUAUUAGUGAACGUCCUCACGCAACCACUUUUUACUGUGAGAAAAUCAGAGUGCUCAAAGCAGGCAUUUGCCGUGAAUGUAUUAGCAUGGAAUAAUAGAAUAGGACUUGGUUCUAUUUUGUUGGUUUGUUGGGACUGAGUAAUGAUCAAGAGGGACAGUUGGGGGCAUUUGUAUUUCGGUGCUAGAGGUGAAAUUCUUAGAUUACCGAAAGACAAACUGCUGCGAAAGCGUCUGCCAAGGAUGUUUUCAUUGA